rnacentral:rRNA from 1 species
UACGUAGGUGGCAAGCGUUGUCCGGAUUUACUGGGCGUAAAGCGUGUGUAGGCGGACCUUUAAGUAGAAAGUGAAAGGUAGGAGCUCAACUCCUACAUUGCUCUCUAUACUGGAGGUCUUGAGUGCCGGAGAGGAAGAUGGAACUGCACGUGUAGCGGUGAAAUGCGUUGAGAUGUGCAGGAACACCAAUGGCGAAGGCAAUCUUCUGGACGAAAACUGACGCUGAGACACGAAAGCCAAGGUAGCAAACAGG